rnacentral:tRNA from 1 species
GCCGAAAUAGCUCAGUUGGUAGAGCAACGCAGUCGUAAUGCGUAGGUCGCCGGUUCGAGUCCGGCUUUCGGCU